AGGGUUCCUGUCCAACGUUAAUCGGGGCAGGGUGAGUCGACCCCUAAGGCGAGGCCGAAAGGCGUAGUCGAUGGGAAACGGGUUAAUAUUCCCGUACUUGGUGUUACUGCGAAGGGGGGACGGAGAAGGCUAUGUUGGCCGGGCGACGGUUGUCCCGGUUUAAGCGUGUAGGUGUGUGUUCCAGGUAAAUCCGGUUCACUUUAACACUGAGGCGUGACGACGAGGCACUACGGUGCUGAAGCAACAAAUGCCCUGCUUCCAGGAAAAGCCUCUAAGCAUCAGGUAACAUCAAAUCGUACCCCAAACCGACACAGGUGGUCAGGUAGAGAAUACCAAGGCGCUUGAGAGAACUCGGGUGAAGGAACUAGGCAAAAUGGUGCCGUAACUUCGGGAGAAGGCACGCUGACACGUAGGUGAAGUGAUUUACUCAUGGAGCUGAAGUCAGUCGAAGAUACCAGCUGGCUGCAACUGUUUAUUAAAAACACAGCACUGUGCAAACACGAAAGUGGACGUAUACGGUGUGACGCCUGCCCGGUGCCGGAAGGUUAAUUGAUGGGGUCAGCGCAAGCGAAGCUCCUGAUCGAAGCCCCGGUAAACGGCGGCCGUAACUAUAACGGUCCUAAGGUAGCGAAAUUCCUUGUCGGGUAAGUUCCGACCUGCACGAAUGGCGUAAUGAUGGCCAGGCUGUCUCCACCCGAGACUCAGUGAAAUUGAACUCGCUGUGAAGAUGCAGUGUACCCGCGGCAAGACGGAAAGACCCCGUGAACCUUUACUAUAGCUUGACACUGAACAUUGAGCCUUGAUGUGUAGGAUAGGUGGGAGGCUUUGAAGUGUGGACGCCAGUCUGCAUGGAGCCGACCUUGAAAUACCACCCUUUAAUGUUUGAUGUUCUAACGUGGACCCGUUACCCGGGUUGCGGACAGUGUCUGGUGGGUAGUUUGACUGGGGCGGUCUCCUCCUAAAGAGUAACGGAGGAGCACGAAGGUUGGCUAAUCCUGGUCGGACAUCAGGAGGUUAGUGCAAUGGCAUAAGCCAGCUUGACUGCGAGCGUGACGGCGCGAGCAGGUGCGAAAGCAGGUCAUAGUGAUCCGGUGGUUCUGAAUGGAAGGGCCAUCGCUCAACGGAUAAAAGGUACUCCGGGGAUAACAGGCUGAUACCGCCCAAGAGUUCAUAUCGACGGCGGUGUUUGGCACCUCGAUGUCGGCUCAUCACAUCCUGGGGCUGAAGUAGGUCCCAAGGGUAUGGCUGUUCGCCAUUUAAAGUGGUACGCGAGCUGGGUUUAGAACGUCGUGAGACAGUUCGGUCCCUAUCUGCCGUGGGCGCUGGAGAACUGAGGGGGGCUGCUCCUAGUACGAGAGGACCGGAGUGGACGCAUCACUGGUGUUCGGGUUGUCAUGCCAAUGGCACUGCCCGGUAGCUAAAUGCGGAAGAGAUAAGUGCUGAAAGCAUCUAAGCACGAAACUUGCCCCGAGAUGAGUUCUCCCUGAGACUUAAAGUCUCCUGAAGGAACGUUGAAGACGACGACGUUGAUAGGCCGGGUGUGUA
rnacentral:rRNA from 1 species